GACGAACGCUGGCGGCGUGCCUAACACAUGCAAGUCGAACGGAGAACAGAAGGAUUGAGACUUCGGUUGAUUGAUAUCUGUUCUUAGUGGCGGACGGGUGAGUAACGCGUGGGUAACCUGCCGUAUGCAGGGGGACAACAGUUGGAAACGACUGCUAAUACCGCAUAAGCGCACAGUACUGCAUGGUACAGUGUGAAAAGAUUUAUCGGCAUACGAUGGACCCGCGUCUGAUUAGCUAGUUGGUGAGGUAACGGCUCACCAAGGCGACGAUCAGUAGCCGGUCUGAGAGGAUGAACGGCCACAUUGGGACUGAGAUACGGCCCAGACUCCUACGGGAGGCAGCAGUGGGGAAUAUUGGGCAAUGGGGGAGACCCUGACCCAGCAACGCCGCGUGAAGGAAGAAGGUUUCGGAUCGUAAACUCCUGUCCUCAGGGAAGAGCAGAAGACGGUACCUGAGGAGGAAGCCCCGGCUAACUACGUG
rnacentral:rRNA from 1 species